ensembl:lncRNA
UAAAGCCUCCUACCCCCUUGGGUCUAGUCUAGUGUAGCCAAUAGCAAAGCCUCCUACCCCCUUGUCAAGUCUAGUGUAGCCAUUGUAAAGCCUCCUACCCCCUUGAGUCUAGUCUAGUGUAGCCAAUGUAAAGCCUCCUACCCCCUUGGGUCUAGUGUAGCCAAUGUAAAGCCUCCUACCCCUUUGGGUCUAGUGUAGCCAAUGUAAAGCCUCCUACCCCCUUGGGUCUAGUGUAGCCAAUGAAAAGCCUCCUAUCCCCUUGAGUCUAGUGUAGCCUAUACUACACUCUUAGAAAAAAAGGUGCUAUCUACAACCGAAAAGGGUUCUUCGGCUGUCCCCAUAGGAGAACCCUUUUUGGUUCCAUGUGGUACCCUUUCCACAGAAGGUUUUACCAGGAACCAAAAAGGGUUCUCCUAUGGGGACUUUUUUGGAACAGUUUUUUCUAAGAGUUUACCUACCUGUGUAGCCUACAGAUCGUACAGGCUAGCACUACCGACUCCUACCCUCUAUAGCAGGGGUGGGCAAACUUUUUGGCUCGAGGGCCACAUCGGGAUUUUGAAAUUCAAUGGGGGGGAGCAUUUUUUGGGAGAUCAAUUUUGUUAAAAUCAAUUUGCGGGAGCCUCUCGAGUGGCGCAGCAGUCUAAGGUACUUCAUCGCAGUCUUUGAGGCGUCACUAGAGACCUGGGUUCGAUCCCAGGCUGUGUCACAGCUGGCCAGUUCCUGGGAGACCCAUGAGGCGGCACACAAUUGGCCCAGCGUCAUCCAGGUUAGGAGAGGGUUUGACAGGCCAAGAUUAACAUUUCCCAUCGCGCUCUAGUUACUCCUGUGGUGGGCCGGGCACAUGGCCCCUGACACGGUUGCCAGGUGUACGGUGUAUACAGAACAUUGGUGCGGCUGGCUUCCGGGUUAAGCGGGCGUUGUGUCAAGAAGCAGUGUGGCUUGGCUGGUUCGUGUUUCGUGCGACGCACAACUCUCAACCUUCGCCUCUCCAUAUGGGAGUUGCAGCGAUGGGACAAAACUACCUACCAAUUGGAAACCAUGAAAUUGGGGCGAAAUAAACAGGUAAUGUCUACAGGCUUCUACUCUCUACAGGCUUCUACAGAUGUCUACCCUCUACAGACUCCUACAGACUUCUACCCUCUACAGACUUCUACCCUCUACAAACUUCUACAGACUUCUACCCUCUACAGACGUCUACAGACUUCUACCCUCUACAGACGUCUACAGACCUCUACCCUCUACAGACCUCUACCCUCUAGACUUCUACCCUCUACAGACUUCUACAGACCUCUACCCUCUACAGACCUCUACCCUCUACAGACUUCUACCCUCUACAGACUUCUACAGACCUCUACCCUCUACAGACUUCUACCCUCUACAGACUUCUACAGACUUCUACCCUCUACAGACGUCUACAGACUUCUACCCUCUACAGACCUCUACAGACCUCUACCCUCUACAGACCUCUAGCCUCUACAGACCUCUAGCCUCUACAGACCUCUAGCCUCUACAGACCUCUAGCCUCUACAGACUUCUACCCUCUACAGACUUCUACCCUCUACAGACUUCUACCCUCUACAGACUUCUACCCUCUACAGACCUUUACCCUCCUGAGUGCUAAGUAGCCUACAGGCUCCAGUUCCAACCAACUCUAUGGGUUCAGACCCAUUGUCUUACAUCAGAUAACGAUGAUUCCCGUUAUCGUCGGUUGAGGGACGACCAUUGCGUAGGAUUGACGCCACCUGACGUAAGACAGUGGGUGCAGACGUGGAUCCAUAUUGACACCACUUAGGUGCCAUAAGGUGUUUUACUGUGCUCACUAUGCACAGUGCUGUGUGUUGGUGAUGCUGAGCCAUGCUGCUAUUACAAUACAACUUAGUAACUUGUUACUAUUGUUUAAAACUAGCAACAUUAUCAAAGCUUUUCCAUAUUGCACUACUUCAUCAUUGAUGGUGAAGUGUUUGUUUUAUUAUGCUGGCAUUGGGAGUGAUGCUUAUGUAGUGAAUUAAUUCUGCACAGUUUGAGUUGUUUCUACUUGUUUUGAUACCGUUAAUAAGGCCAACGCUAGCAGUACAUGGAAAAUACUAACUAUCUGGCAUUAAAAUGACUAAUAAACAGGCGGAAUUGCUGGUUUUGUUCCA